UGGGGUGUGGCUCAGUGGGAGAGCGCUCGCCUCCCACAUGGGAGACCCUGGGUUCAAUCCUCAGCACCACAU
rfam:Ictidomys tridecemlineatus contig107583, whole genome shotgun sequence.